rnacentral:rRNA from 1 species
GAUGAACGCUAGCGGCAGGCCUAAUACAUGCAAGACGAACGGUAAGUUGAGUAGCAAUACUUAGCCAAGAGUGUCGUACGGGUGCGUAACACGUAUGCAACCUACCCUAUACAGGAGGAUAGCCUAGGGAAACCUGGAUUAACCCUUCAUAGUAUUAUUGGAUGGCAUCAUUUGAUAAUUAAAACUGAGGUGGUAUAGGAUGGGCAUGCGUCUGAUUAGUUAGUUGGCGGGGUAAUGGCCCACCAAGACGAUGAUCAGUAGGGGUUCUGAGAGGAAGAUCCCCCACACUGGCACUGAGAUACGGGCCAGACUCCUACGGGAGGCAGCAGUAGGGAAUAUUGGUCAAUGGAUGCAAGUCUGAACCAGCCAUGCCGCGUGCAGGAAGAAGGCCUUCUGGGUUGUAAACUGCUUUUGCCAGGGGGAUAAAAUUUCCAUGCGUGGAAAACUGAAGGUACCUGGUGAAUAAGCCACGGCUAACUACGUGCCAGCAGCCGCGGU